CCUGGGGGCCUGCCAGACUCCAAUGUUUCCAGUAGAGGCUCCCCUGUUAGAGAGGACGGAUGGAGUCCCACACAUACCAACUGUCAGGACUUUAGCAGCAUGAUAUGACUGGCUGUCAUUCAUACCGCCGUACAUCUGAGGAAGAGCUAGACUGCAUGCUUCUACUGCCCAUAAAUGGUAGCUACUGUAGGGGAGAAGGGGGCGUGAUCAAAAUCUCUGUAAAACAGAGUUGCGUAGUCUCCAUGCAUCAGACAUCAGCUGUGGUUGAGACACAUCACUCUGUUUUGCAAAGGUUCUUCAGCUUGCAUAUUCUCUGAAACCACAAUUGUCUGUGAAGCUGAUCUGCAGAGCUGGGUCGACUUCAUUAAGGCAUGCAACGGAAACGUCUUAAUACGAAAAUGACCGUUUCUUAUUGGACAAGUCCAGGUAGUCCCUCCCUGUUUCUUCCAUUUGGUGCCUAAUGAACACAACAGGACAAUGUGAUGGACAUUUUUAUGUUUGUGCUUUUCUAUAAACCAAUUUCUAUGUUCUCUGUUUGUGCUUUUGUAUAAACCAAUUUCUGUGUUCAAUCAAGUUACUGAUUGAACAAAUCCUCACUCUCAAUAUCUGCAAUUUGGCAGAAGGCCCAGAACCUUGUUUAGAGAAAUGAUAUCUCAGUUUCAAGGUCUCAGCUUAGAGAAGAAGCCUCGUGAGGUAUUGGUCUGUCACAUGCAUGAAACAAACAUGAAUUAUGAAUGAUGAAUAAGCUAAAUCAUGCAAAUAUAACUUGUCAGUAUAUAAGGGAACUAAAGGGACUGCCCUGUUAGAGCUCACUUCAGAUUGCUACUAUAUGUAUCUAAGUCUGACUGGGACCUGUCCAACCUGCUGACAAUAAAGAGUGAUUCACUUCA